UACGUAGGCAGCAAGCGUUGUUCGGAAUUACUGGGCGUAAAGAGUGUGUAGGCGGUGCUCUAAGUUCGGUGUGAAAUCUCCCGGCUCAACUGGGAGGGUGCGCCGGAAACUGGGGUGCUGGAGCGCGGGAGAGGAAAGCGGAAUUCCUGGUGUAGCGGUGAAAUGCGUAGAUAUCGGGAGGAACACCAGUGGCGAAGGCGGUUACCUGGAGCUUUGCUGACGCUGAUGCGCGAAAGCGUGGGGAGCGAUCCGG
rnacentral:rRNA from 1 species